AGUUGUAUCCUGGCUCAGGAUGAACGCUGGCGGUAUGCUUAACACAUGUAAGUCGAACGAAAGUUUUUAACUUUAGUGGCGAACGGGUGCGUAAUACGUGAGAAUCUACCCUUAGGAGGAGUAUAACUGCUGGAAACGGCUGCUAACACUCCAUAUGUCGAGAGAUGAAAUAAUUUAUUGCCUAAGGAUGAGCUCGCGCCUGAUUAGCUAGUUGGUGAGGUAAUGGCUCACCAAGGCCACGAUCAGUAGCUGGUUUGAGAGAACGAUCAGCCACACUGGGACUGAGACACGGCCCAGACUCCUCCGGGAGGCAGCAGUGAGGAAUUUUCCGCAAUGGGCGAAAGCCUGACGGAGCAAUACCGCGUGAGGGAUGAAGGAUUUUGGUCUGUAAACCUCUUUUCUCAAGAAAGAAGUUCUGACGGUACUUGAGGAAUAAGCAUCGGCUAACUCCGUGCCAGCAGCCGCGGUAAUACGGGGGAUGCAAGCGUUAUCCGGAAUCAUUGGGCGUAAAGCGCCUGUAGGUUGUUUAAUAAGUCUGUUGUUAAAGACUAGGGCUCAACCCUAGAAAAGCAAUGGAAACUACUAGACUAGAGUAUGGCAGGGGUAGAGGGAAUUUCUAGUGUAGCGGUGAAAUGCGUAGAUAUUAGAAAGAACACCGGUGGCGAAAGCGCUCUACUGGACCAUUACUGACACUCAGAGGCGAAAGCUAGGGUAGCAAAAGGGAUUAGAUACCCCUGUAGUCCUAGCCGUAAACGAUGGAUACUAGAUGUUGUGCGUAAAGUACAGUAUCCUAGCUAACGCGUUAAGUAUCCCGCCUGGGGAGUACGCUCGCAAGGGUGAACUCAAAGGAAUUGACGGGGGCC
rnacentral:rRNA from 1 species